UUAAGCCUACGGGACGCAGCAGUGAGGAAUAUUGGUCAAUGGACGGAAGUCUGAACCAGCCAUGCCGCGUGCAGGAAGACGGCUCUAUGAGUUGUAAACUGCUUUUGUACAAGGGUAAACCUGAAUACGUGUAUUCAGCUGAAAGUACUGUACGAAUAAGGAUCGGCUAACUCCGUGCCAGCAGCCGCGGUAAUACGGAGGGUGCGAGCGUUAAUCGGAAUUACUGGGCG
rnacentral:rRNA from 1 species